GAUUUUAACAACUUGGUGCCGUGACCCGGAUCUUUGGCGUGCUGAGGAGGGGCAGAUUUGGCCUGUGGUGAGAUCGUGGGGCGAGGCGAACAGAGGGCCGGCCUAAACAGAAAGGUAUGGUAAAACUUAAGAAAGGAACAGACACCAGACGGGGACACGGAGAUAUGAGGACCCUUCACAGCAGAGACAGAUGUAGGGACUGCCGAGACAGCAACUGGGGUCAAGUGUCAUGGCGUUUGGGCUCCUCGAGAGGAUGGAUCCCAUAAACACAGCAAUAACCAUGAAGGGGUUGGCCAAAAUCUAGGAACACCAGACCAACGAGGUUCGAGAGGCUCUUGGUAAAAACGGGGACACGGCGGUGACCCCAAAAUACACAGAUCUUUGUUUGAAAUCGGGGCAGAAUAAUCCCCUGA